GUUUAAUUCGAAGCAACGCGAAGAACCUUACCAAGGCUUGACAUCCCUUUGACCUAUACAGAGAUGUAUACUUCCCUUCGGGGACAAGGGUGACAGGUGGUGCAUGGUUGUCGUCAGCUCGUGUCGUGAGAUGUUGGGUUAAGUCCCGCAACGAGCGCAACCCUUAUCAUUAGUUGCCAGCACGUAAAGGUGGGAACUCUAGUGAGACUGCCGGUGAUAAACCGGAGGAAGGUGGGGAUGACGUCAAAUCAUCAUGCCCCUUAUGUCUUGGGCUACACACGUGCUACAAUGGUCGGUACAACGGGAAGCGAAAGAGUGAUCUGGAGCAAAUCCUAAUAAGCCGAUCUCAGUUCGGAUUGUAGGCUGCAACUCGCCUACAUGAAGUCGGAGUUGCUAGUAAUCGCGGAUCAGAAUGUCGCGGUGAAUGCGUUCCCGGGCCUUGUACACACCGCCCGUCAAGCCAUGGAAGUUGGGAGUACCUGAAGUCAGUGACCGCAAGGAGCUGCCUAGGGUAAAAUCAAUAACUGGGGCUAAGUCGUAACAAGGUAAC
rnacentral:rRNA from 1 species